rnacentral:rRNA from 1 species
ACGGGAGGCAGCAGUGGGGAAUAUUGCACAAUGGGGGAAACCCUGAUGCAGCAACGCCGCGUGAGUGAUGAAGUAUUUCGGUAUGUAAAGCUCUAUCAGCAGGGAAGAAGAUGACGGUACCUGACUAAGAAGCACCGGCUAAAUACGUGCCAGCAGCCGCGGUAAUACGUAUGGUGCAAGCGUUAUCCGGAUUUACUGGGUGUAAAGGGAGCGCAGGCGGUCCUGCAAGCCAGAGGUGAAAACCCGGGGCUCAACCCCGUGGAUUGCCUUUGGAACUGUGGGACUCGAGUACUGGAGGGGCAGCGGAAUUCCUAGUGUAGCGGUGAAAUGCGUAGAUAUUAGGAAGAACACCGGUGGCGAAGGCGGCUUUCUGGACUGUAACUGACACUGAGGCACGAAAGCGUGGGGAGCAAACAGGAUUAGAUACCCUGGUA